CACAAAAAAGAUUUUUCUUCUGCUUCACAAGACGCUUGCUCGAACCAUUGUUUUGAACCAGGGACCUUUGAAGUGGAACCUAGACCAUAAACCUGUGAGUCUGUCCAGAGUAGCUGGAUUUUCUGUCUCUCUGGUGCAGUGGUUCUAAACAGUUCAACAGUUCUUACCAAAAUUGUGAAAUGUUUAGGACCACUUGAUCAGGGGGAUGAUAGCCUCAAAUGAGAGAGACAACACUGGAAGACAGAAAGUGAAGAAAAAGAAACAUGAACAGGACAUUGCAGCAUGUACUAGCGCUACAAGCAAUUCACCGACUGUAGGAGACCUUAUCUUUAUGUACUGUUAUGGGCAUGGUGGUCAGUCAUUGCCUUCCAGCAUGUUGCAAAUACCGAUGGACUGUGGAGAAAGAUGGGUCAGGUUUACAUAAACAAAAAGUGGAUUGAAUUCCCUCUGAUCUUGCCUGUGUGUUCAGAUUUUCUUACAGAUUGAUACUUGAUUUAACAGUUAAAUUUUUGUAGUAUUUUAAACUAUACAAUCUGUGGUAUAUCCCUUUAUUGAAGUCCGCUUCAUUGAAUCAAAAGACAUUUUUAUCCGGGCACUUUUAACAGAAUUUAUGUUGCUUUCAGGGCAAUCUUAUGUAACAGAAACAAACCUAGAUUUAUUACAUGUUCUUUAGGAUUUAGGAUAAAUGAUCUUCUGGAUGGAAUUAAAAGCUAAUUUGUUCUAGCACAACCUUGUUAGGCCUCUGAAAAUGUACAGAAGCUGACUAAGCUUGUAAUGUCAUUGAAAUCUGUACCUACACUGCAAACAAACGAGUGUGAAAUAAGUAAAGAUUGAUAGUAACAUUUUUAAAAAUAAAUCUGCUAUCUGUGUUUCAGUUAGGAUAUGCAGGAUUUCUUAGUUGCAGUUUCAAGGCAUGAUUUCUUACCUUUUUGUACAUGAAUAUCUAUAUCAUUUCUAUCUUAUAUAAUGUGUUAUGUUGCUCUUUGAAUUGAAGUAUAUUUUUGUAUUUGUUCCCAUUUAAAUAUUCCUUAAGAUUGCUAAACUGAGAACCAUUGAUUUUUUUAAGGGUAUUUUUACUGGAAUAUGGAAAAUGAAUGUGAACUCAAGCCUCUGUAACUUUUAAAAUAAAAAAUAUCAAAAUUUAAGAAAAGAGAACAAACGUCUGUUUAACAUGAGAUACUCAGUGAAAGACGUUAUAAGUAUUAUCUUAUAAACAUAAAAAUGUUUAUGGUGUGCUUUUAAAAAUGUAGCUGGCUGAUAUAAUUCAUAUAUAUUUUUGUUAAAAUAAUUCACAGUGUUCAAAGCACUAUAUGUUAUCUGCAAUACCACAGAUAACCUGUUAACCGUGGAAAAGUACAAAAAUCACCAAAGAUGAUUCAGUAAAAUACCAAAAUGACUGAAGUUAAAACAAGACUUGAAAUAAUUUUGUAAUUUCGUUAUUCUUUGACAAAUUUCACCUUUGUUUUUCUUAAAGUUAUUUGUCAAAAAUAAAAAAUAAGUUUAAGGCA